GGAGAGGUGCCCGGAGCGGCUCAUCGGGGACCAGGAACAGGUCGGGCCUAAAAACCCACGCAGGUUCGAAUCCUGCCCUCUCCGCCA
rnacentral:tRNA from 1 species